UGAAUACGCGUAGGAAAAAAAUUAAAAUUAAAAUAAAAACACCUACAGAUUUUCAUAAAUGACGGCACAAAAUACUAGCUACUUAGUCAUUGUUGGACUGGCUUAACAGUAUGCCAGAAGAGCAAGUGAAUGUUUAUAUAUAUAAGUUCAGAUCAGCACUGAAUGAACUCACCGGGUCUUACAGACAUGGAGCCAUCCUUCCUGCUGCACCACAGAGCGUUGUCUCCACUCUGGAGAAUGUAGUGGUCUUUCGCCUGAAACAGCUCCAUAUCGACGUCAAGUCAGGGUGAAAAACAUGCAGCUAAUGAACAGUGGACGUUUCCAGAGACGCCGGACAGCACACAUCAAAGCAGCCGCCUCAGGUAGUUAGCCGGUUAGCUAAACCGCUCUAGUCCUGAUUAUUGACAGUUUAAACUAUCCGGCAGAGACUGUAAUAAACCUUAACAUCGCGUCAGUUUAACUUGUUAUAACAGCUAUUAAUCUCUCUUCCUAAGCUAUCGACUAAGUUAUUUGAACAAUACUAGUCAAACGGGAUGGACGUCUAAUCUGUGAUAUUCCCCCCCUUGAAUGAAGAGCACAGCUACGGAGCGGCAUACGGUUGAGGUUGCCAGGAACGACGUCACGUGACCGCAUCCGUCGUUUCAAGGAAAAAAACGAAGCAUAACACCACAACAGGCCUGUUCAUGAUUCAUCACCAUCACUGCUACUGCUGCUGCUGCCGCCUAUAAACGGGAUUUCUGGAUUCCUUUGUUUGAUGUGGUGAAAUAUUUUGUUCCAUAGACUGUAGUCAGUGAUCAACUAUUAUUAUUUUUUACUUUCUAACUAAAAUAAUAUCAGAAUCUAGUUACAUUAUUAUAUAUACCACAUUGUAGAAAUUGUAAGUUUGCAAAAUUCCAGGAAAAUUCAUGGCUGAAAACUUUCCAUGGUCAUUAAAUGAAUGGGAUUAACUCAAAAAUCUCUUACAAAUCACGGAGAAUUUAAAACUACAUUAAAAUCUGAAUUAAAACAAGUUUAAUUAACAUUUUUUUAAUGUAAUUUUUAUCAUGGACACAUUCUACCACUUCAGUUGCAAAUCAGCAAUUCAGCAGAUUCACAAAUGGAUUUAUUAAACUUGAAACAAAAAAACAAACAAACACGAAUUAAAAUUAUGAUUAAAUUGUGUUGCUCAGUUGCAUGACCAGGGGUGCCAAAACAUUCACCUCUGUGGAAAGGUGUGUAAUGCAUGUGUCAUGUUGGAGUUAGUUGUUUGUAAAUAGUGGUAGAAAUCUGGGCUUUUUGGAGAAUUGUUACUCGUAAUUCCCACAUGGAGGUCAUCCAAACAGGUUAGUCAGUGUUACUUUAUUAGACCAGGAUGAACUACAAAUAGGACUAAUUGUGUUUGACCAAUCAGUGAUCAGAAGCCUUUUUAGCCCCUCCCACAUGUUUGGAUUAAGUAUUGGUGCGUAAUUACAGUACGGAUCAUUAUACCGUGGAAACACUCAGGAAAAAAAUAAGGGCUGUGUAUUAUGUGAUGGACCAGUACAAACACGUUAAAUGUUUCAGAUUAGUGAUGAAUAUGUGACCAGAAGCACUGGCCAAUCACAACAGUUCAAAAGAAUUACAUCUGAGGUCAGGUUAAAAAAAAAGGAUUAAAAAUAUUUCAUUUGUCCAAACUUUUGACCGGAUUAUUGUUUAAACUAUGUUAUCGUUUGUUUUAGCAAAGAUGCUGUUGAGGAGUAUUUAUUCAGCUAGCCUUUUUCUAUUCAUUUGCAUCAAUUGUACAAUUUCAAAAUAUUCCAAUUUAACUAAUAAUAUCAUUGCACUGCAUGUGUUUUUACAAGAUUUUUUCCAAUCUUCUUCUAUAGAACUAUGUCACACACACCAUCUAAUGUGUGGAUACAUUUCACCUCAGCCAGUGUUGUCAAAUGUCUUUUUUUUUUUUUUUUUUUUUAAAUCUGUAUUAGAUUGCAUGCAUGUCAACUUGUAUGCAAACAAAAUGUUUAUAUUUAUGAUGUUUAGAUUUCUCAUCACUGCUGGGGACUUUAAUCAUGCAGAUUUACCCACAAGGGGCAAUAAUACAUUAGACAUGGUAUACACAAACAGCAAAGGAGCAUACAAAGCGCCCCCCUCCCUCACCUCGCACUCUCUGACCACAUCAGCAUCAUGCUCAGACCUGUGUACACACCGAAGGUGAGAUUCACCUGACCAACCAAGAAAGAAGUAUGUUUGUGGCCAUAGGGGGAGCAGUCCAAUGUUUUGACACAACAGACUGGGACGUACGCAAGGAAGCAGCAACUUACAAUAAACACACUGCUUACACCUCAAAGUGCACUGAUGAUGUCACAGACAGUAAAACCAUCACUAUUUGGGCAAACCAGAAGCCAUAACUGACAGGAGAAGUGCACAAGCUUCUGAGGGCUAGGGACGCAGCCUUUAGAGCCGGUGAUACUGCAGGCCUAACAACAGCAAGAGCCAACUAUUCCUAUGAAAUCAGGAAAGCAAAACAACAACACAGCAAUUAAAAAUCUGGACAUUUCAGCAACACCAGUGACACAUAGAGUCUCUGGCAAGGCAUUCAAUCUCUAACAGACUAUAAAACCCUACCCUACCAGUCACAGAUCUACUUAAAAGACUCAAUGUAUUAUUUGGCCGAUUUGAAACCCAAAACAACACACAGGCACAGAAGAUCACACCUUUCCCACAAGAAAGGGCUGUUUGUCUGACCCCAGUCAGGGUGAAAAAGAUCCAUCUGACCAUCAUCCCUUGCAAGACAGCCAGACAACGUACCUGGUCGGGUUCCAAUGGUCUGUGCUAAACAACUCAAGGAUGUACCAAUUGACAUCUCUAACAUCUCGCUGAGUCAAACAGUUGUCCCAAGUGUUUCAAGGCCACCACAAUAAUUCCAGUCCCAGAAAGCUGCACCCAUCCAGCUACCUGCCCAUUGCACUGACCUCCAUCAUUAUAAAGUGUUUCAAGCGACUGGUCUUGCAGCCCUUAAAAUUCAUUCUUCCUCUUGCUCAUGACCCAUUCCAGUUUGCAUAAAGAAAUAACAGGUCCACGGAGGAUGCCAACUCAGCCACCAAAAUAAGAUAUGUGCGAAUGUUUUUCUUGGAUUUUAGUUCAGCAUUUAACACAAUCAUUCCCCAGCAGCUAAUAAACAAACUGAGAUGCCUGGGACACAAUUCCUUUCUCUGUAACUGGGUGCUGGACUUCUUAUCAAAGAGACCACAAAAUGUACAGGUCUGUGGAAAAACAUCUAAGAUCGCCAUGCUAAGCACAGGAGCACAACAAGGGUGUGUGCUCAGCCUGCUUCUCUUCACCCUGUUGACUCUUGAUUGUGUACCCAGUUACAGUACCAACCACAUUGUCAAGUUUGCAGACGACAUGACUGUAGUGGGCUUUAUCAUCAAUAACGAUGAGGCCAACUACAGGACAGAGGUGACCCAACAGGUCCAGUGGUGUAACGACAAUAAUCUCUUUCUCAACUUGGGGAAGACCAAAGAAAUUGUCAUUGACUUCAGAAGAGGACCUUCACAGCACCCCCACUAACCAUCAAUGGUGCCGCAGUGGAGAGGGUGAGCAGCACCAAGUUCUUAAGUGUGCAUAUCUCUCAGGACCUCUCCUUGAAGACACACACCACUUCGCUGGCUAAGAAAGCUCAGUCACACCUCUACUUCCUCCGCAAACUGAGCAAAGCACGAGUCCGACCUCCCAUCAUCUGCUCCUUCUACCAAAACACCAUUGAGUGCAUCCUCACCAGCUGCAUCACUGUGUGGUACACCGGCUGCACUGCCUCUUCUUAAAAGACUCUGUAACGCAUAGUGAUUGCAGCUAGCAAGAUCAUUGGUGUGUCUUUGUCCUCAGUAAUGGACAUCUUCCACAACCGCCUCACUAGCAGCUCUAUCAGGAUUGUUGUGAUAGCUCACACCAGUCAAACCUCUACUUCAGCCUUCAGGAAGAAGGUACCUGAGGCUGCAGGCCCGCUACACAAUACUUUCAAACAGCUUCAUCCAUAAGGCUGUGAGGAACUCUGAACUCUGUCCAUUACCUCCCCUUCUCCCACCUACGUCUGAACUUUAAAAAUCUACAGCUCACCCCACACUUCUUCAUUGUAAAUAAGACACUUUAUACUCUCUGCAGAACUCGGCACACAUGGACCUGUUUACAAACACCAAUUAAAAAAAGUUACAUGUAAAAAUUCUUCAAAUCUGACACUGUGGCACUUUUACACAUUACAGUCUUUUUGCAAUACUGUCGUAUUGCUGCUAUCUGUCUUGCACCUUACAAAUGCCUUUAUACUCUAUUAAAUAAUUAUAUACUUUAUAAUUGUUGACACAUAUUUGGACGUUUAAUUGUAUAUUAACUAAUUCACUGUUUACGUUUACUCCGAUGUAUAUUCAUUCAGAUUUACGAGAUAUUUGUCGAGAGAUGUCGAAUUGCUGAUAUUCUUAUACAGAAUAUGGGAAAACAUGUUAUGAGGUAGUCCUUUUUAUUGAUGGGUGGGGUA